UGAGCCACCACGCCCGGCCUGAAUGAAGUAUUUAUGGUUGGAGGGAUAUAUGGUAUCUGAGACAUGUUUGAAUCAGUGGAGUGGGAGCAUGAGACAAAGAAGAGAUGGAACAAUGUUGGCCGCCUGUUGAUGCCUGUGGAAGGUGGGGGGCAGGAACGUGGGAGUUCAUGAUAUUAUCCUCUGUACUCGUAAUAUGCUUGACAAUUUCCAUCAUAAAAAAGUAAACAAGAAAGUCAGCCCUGGGGUGUAGCUCUCUUGGAUCCGGCAAUGCCACCUCUCUGGUGCUCUUUUCCUAAUUCUAUGCAGACAACUUCUGAGUUCACCUGAGCUUUGAACUGGCCGCGGCUGGUGGAGGAUUCUGGUCAUCCUGGGGUCUCCAGCCUUACCAGGGCCCUUGAUUCUGAGUAUUGAUGUCCAU
rnacentral:lncRNA from 1 species